GUGCUCACUUUGGGAAGCACGUACACUAAAAUUCAAAUGGCACAGAGAAGAUUAGCACAGCCUCUGUCCAGUAAUGAGACACAAGUAUCCUAUGUUUUUAAUAUGGAU
ensembl:snRNA U6 U6 spliceosomal RNA